AGAGUUUGAUUAUGGCUCAGGAUGAACGCUGGCGGCGUGCCUAACACAUGCAAGUCGAACGAGCGCUUCGGGCGCGAGUGGCGGACGGGUGAGUAACGCGUGGAUAACCUGCCUUAUACAGGGGGAUAACAGCGGGAAACUGCUGUUAAUACCGCAUAAGCGCACAGUACCGCAUGGUACAGUGUGAAAAAGCUCCGGCGGUAUAAGAUGGAUCCGCGUCUGAUUAGCCAGUUGGCGGGGUAACGGCCCACCAAAGCGACGAUCAGUAGCCGACUUGAGAGAGUGACCGGCCACAUUGGGACUGAGACACGGCCCAAACUCCUACGGGAGGCAGCAGUGGGGAAUAUUGCACAAUGGGGGAAACCCUGAUGCCAGCGACGCCGCGUGAGUGAAGAAGUAUUUCGGUAUGUAAAGCUCUAUCAGCAGGGAAGAAAAUGACGGUACCUGACUAAGAAGCCCCGGCUAAAUACGUGCCAGCCGCCGC
rnacentral:rRNA from 1 species